UACGUAGGGUGCAAGCGUUAAUCGGAAUUACUGGGCGUAAAGCGUGCGCAGGCGGUUUUGUAAGUCUGUCGUGAAAUCCCCGGGCUCAACCUGGGAAUUGCGAUGGAGACUGCAAGGCUAGAAUCUGGCAGAGGGGGGUAGAAUUCCACGUGUGAGCAGUGAAAUGCGUAGAGAUGUGGAGGAACACCGAUGGCGAAGGCAGCCCCCUGGGUCAAGAUUGGACGCUCCAUGCACGAAAGCGUGGGGAGCAAACGAGGAUACGAAACCCGA
rnacentral:rRNA from 1 species